rnacentral:rRNA from 1 species
CUGGGGUGGUAAAAUCCUUAAAUAAAAAUUCAGGACAAAAACAAGGAUUAGAUACCCUUUUAUUCCUGAACUCAGGGUAGUAACUAGCUAUGUUCUUCAAACCUAAAGGAUUUGGCGGUGCCUUAACAUACCAGAGGAACCUGCCUCCGUAACUACGCGUUAAAUCUUACCUUAAGGUUUGUAUACCGUCGUCUAGGCUGACUCUAAAGAAGCUACCACUAAAAUGUCAGAUCAAGGUGCAGCUUUUUAAGGGGUUACAAUUAAAAUAAAAUAGGAUUUGGCAGUAAAAUAAAUUUGUUUGUGAAGACUAUAUAAGGUACGUACAUAUCGCCCGUCACUCUCA